rnacentral:tRNA from 1 species
GUUUUGGUGGUGGAGUGGAAAAAGACCACCUUAAGAUAAUGUUGAGGUCUCAAGUUCAAGUCUUGGCUACACCA